rnacentral:rRNA from 1 species
GGAGGAUCCGAGCGUUAUCCGGAUUUAUUGGGUUUAAAGGGUGCGUAGGCGGCCUUUUAAGUCAGCGGUGAAAGUCUGUGGCUCAACCAUAGAAUUGCCGUUGAAACUGGGGGGCUUGAGUAUGUUUGAGGCAGGCGGAAUUCGUGGUGUAGCGGUGAAAUGCAUAGAUAUCACGAAGAACCCCGAUUGCGAAGGCAGCCUGCUAAGCUGUAACUGACGUUGAGGCUCGAAAGCGUGGGGAGCAAACAGGAUUAGAUACCCUGGUAGUCCACGCCGUAAACGAUGAUUACUAGGAGUUUGCGAUACAAUGUAAGCUCUACAGCGAAAGCGUUAAGUAAUCCACCUGGGGAGU